GGCUGAGGUGGGGAGGUGGAGGAGUGGGCUAUCAGGCCGCCCCUGCGUCCAGGGCUGUAGGUGGGCAGGAUGCAACCUGUUGCUUGGAGGAGCUCUGCGCCCAGUUGGGACCCCCAGGCUCUGCCUCCAGUGGCAAUGGCUUGGAGGCGGGAGAAGGCCGGCAAGGCCCUGCUGGGGCCAGGGCAGCUGGGCGGCUUGGCCGGCUUGGCCGGGCAGCUCGUGGAGCGCCCACUGUGCAGGCCACUGCUCCCUCCAGGCUGGCUUUCCUGCCUCAGCCUACCUGGCAGUGGGAAGCGGCAGCCUUGCACCUGUGAGGUGGGGGCCGGCCACCCUGCCGGUGCAGAAGGCCCACCCCUUCCCCCUGGACAUCCAGCACAGGGGACGGGGGCUGGCUCAGGGUGGGCAGGAGGCUGGGUGCGAGUGACAGGGCUGGGGUUCGCUCAGGUAGGCGUCCCGUGGCGUCCUUCCUGGCUGGGCUCAAGCCCUGGGGGGGCCUUGGAGUCUGUGCGCACAGAGGGUGGGGACUUGCGCUGCUUCCUCCUCGCCACUUCUCCCCCAGCCCCCGCCUGGCUGGGCGGUGCCUCCCCUUUCCUGCCCAGCCCACUCUGCGGGACUCCUCUGGCCUCUUUCCUGGGUCUGGCCUCCAAGGACCCCAGUGGCCCUCUCGCUCCUUCCUGGGUGGGAGUGGAGGCAGAGGUGGGAGUGGGCACGGGGGGACGAGACCAGCGGGCCGCGUCUCGGGGGUCACCCUGGACGGUUCCGCGCCUCCCCGUGCGGCAAGGCCUCAGGCCCGCCCCGGGCAUUCUGUCUGCAGGGAGGCUGGGCAGGGGUCUGGGGCCAUGCCUCUCUUUGGGAGAGGCCACGGGAGUGGGGGGGGGGGACCGACACAAUGAGGUAGUCACACGGGGCGCAGGCAUGUUGGGGGUGGGGGGAGCCGACACUGGAACACACACACACACAUGCUCGCACACACAACCGGCCAGACAAUCGGGCCAGUGUGUCCGGGGCCUCGGAGCCCAGUGAAUUAGGAGUUUGAUAAGGGUUUUCUCUUUCUCUCACUUGCCGGCCUCGGACAAUCCCCCCCAGUUUUCCUCGACGCCACCCCCGGCGCUGCCAACCCUCCUCCCCCCGCCUCCCUUCUCUUCCCUGUGCCCAGACUCUUGUUCGGGGCCUUGAAACAGUGAGCUGUCUUUGUUCGAAAUACAGGUGAACGGCAAUCAUGUGAUUAACACACACACACAUAAAAAGCUUUUUAACAGCGCCCGCCCGGCCUCAGAACCGCCCAGAGAGGAGCCGCCCUGGAUGGACAGAGGGACGAGGGACGCGCAUCCAGCCGUCUCCGACACCCGCAGCUGCCCGCCCGCCCGUGCCCGCCUGCCCGGCAUCUCUCGAUCCCGGUGUUUCUUGAACUCCUUCGGCGGAGGAGGCCUGCAGGGGCCACACCAGCAACUCAGAACCAAGAUACAGAUUUCAGUUGAGGACGACAAGCAAAACCCCAAAUAAAAAAGGAGAGUUUGCACUGCGGACGUGUUUGUCCAGAAACCCCUCUCCUGCACGGCACAGCUGCUGACCUCUGGAAAGUGCCGCGCUGCAUAUCCCCAGAGCAGGUCCCACCCGAAAUACAGACGCACGCGCCACCGACCCCGGGACCAUGAUUCCCAGAACGGCCCGUCAACGUCCAGGGUCACGGCAUUUCUCUGCCAAAAGAUGCAGACGGACCCCGCGAACUCAUCACUCAGGUCAGCGCGUGUUGCCGGUGCUCCGGCCGGUCCGGCAGUUCCAGAAGGCGACACGGAGCCCAGCUCCGUGCGCUCACCUGGCCCCACAUGGGGGCAGAAGAGGGGGCCUGGGGCCGGCAGACUUACCAGUGUUGACGGACCCGGCUGCCUUCAGCCAGCCGAGAUCCAGGGGACACAAAUGGACAAGACGCCAGCACGCUGCUGGGGGAGGAGGGGUGCGGCUGGGGCUCAUCUGGGAGCCCGGGGGGGAAGGCUUCCUGGAGGAGGUGACUGUGAAGACCAGGAAACAGAGAGAGGGUGGAAAGGUGCUGGUGUUGAGGCCAAGGCCGGAGCGGCGAUGGUGUGUGGGGUGGACAGGCCACGUGCUGGAGCGGCGGGGGCGGCAGAGGACAGUGGAAGGGCCUUCUGAGGACCCUUAGGGUAAGGACCGGAUCCCCAGGGCACGGAAGGAUUCUGCAGGGAUAAAAUUCGUGUUCUAGAAAGGUCCUGUGGGCUGGGUCUGUGCCGGUCUGGGCUGUGGCUGUUUUCCAGCACCCGGGUCAGAGCCCAGCACCAGCAGGCGCUCAGGGAGCGUCUUUCAACACAUGAAGGCCAACAGUGGGCCCCGAGCCACGGGUUGCCCCAGCUGUGGCACUUGGGCCUCAGUUUCCCCACCCAUGAGAAGAGGGUCCCAGCUCGCCCUGGUGGCGGGGCUGUGGGGGCUCCGUGUCCCGCCUGCCCCUGGUGCUCCAGAACUGGCACCGUUAUGCGGGGCUGGAGCAGGCAGGGCCCAGGCCAGUGGCCAUCUGGGCACGCGAGGGCUCACCCCUUUGCGUGUGUACGUCGGACUCACCACCCCGAGGUCACGCUGCUGCCACCCUGCUUUGCCGUCCAGGAAGCUGAGUCUCGGCUAGUGGGAGGAGGGGUGGCAGGGGGCGCUGCACAGGACCCUUAGCCCAGCUGGCAGUGUGACCGGUCAGGUCGGCCGGGGGAGGUGGGGGCAGGCCCAGGGCCGGGAGGCGGCAGGGACACCCCAGCUCUCUGGGCGGGCCGAUGGGGUGAAAGCUGGCAUCGGGCUGGCUACGUGGGAGCGGGUGGGCGUGGCACCGUCCUCCAGUCUGGAGAGGUCUGGCCUGGAGACCUGGGUGGCAGCAGGGUGAGAGGCUGGACAGGAGCCCCGCCCUGGAGGCAGCGUCCAGGGAAGCGAGCUUGCUCUGGGCAGGCCCGCUCCUCGCGCUGUGUGGUGGCCGCCGCGGGCAUUGUGUCUCGGCUCCUCGCCCAGCGCCGUCCCGCGUGCCCUCCUGGCUCCCUCCUGGCCCUCCUCACUUGCCCGUAAACUCGCUCAGCCGGCAUCCGGGUCCGCUGGCCAGUCCACUGCCUCGGCCCUUGCAGGCUCCCCCGGCCAGCUGGUCCCGCCUGUGUGUCCCUCUGGCUCACUCUGCUCUGGGCGACUCCUUGGUGUUUCUUCAUUUCGCCAAACGCGCCAUCCCCAUCUGCACAGCUGAGCUGUGCUCCUGGAUGGGCGGGGCCCGCUGUCCUCCGUCUCCGUCUCCGUCAGGGCUGGCGCAGGCCACGCCCCGCGCUGUGGGCUGUGGGGUCCCGGCACCCUUCACGGAAGGGAGGCUGAGGGGAGAUGGCCUGGGGUGUCCGGGGCAGGCACACCCGCGGAGCGGACAUGUGGCGGGGGCUGGCGAGGGGGUGGGGCGCAGCUAAAGCGCUCAGGGUUUCCUUCUGGGGUGAUGAAGCUGGAAGGGUCUGGCAGGGUGCGGGGCGCAGAGGAGCGGGUGUGAGCGACGCCCCGAGCGGGGCCACUCCCCGCCCCCAGGGCCCUGGCUGCCCUUGAGGUUGUCACCCCAAAAGACCUGUGGCCUGUUCUAAGGGGCCGGCCCUGUGGUGGGCAGCGCAGCUGGCAGCAGGACCUCUGGGGAGUGGGUGGGUCCCCUGGACCUGGUGUCCCAGCCCUGGGCGUCUCCCCCUGGCAGCCCCACCCCGCCCGGGGGAAGCAGUCAGGCCCAGCCUGCGGGUUGGGGGGCUUCCUGCCUGGCUUGGGCAAGGGACGGGGACAGUUUGGGG